GCCGGGGCCGCGGCCGCGCCAUUUGCAUUUCAAUAAAACCCGCCUGUUGACUCAGUGCCCGGCGCUUCCGCAGCUCCCACCAGAAUCUGCCUUUGUUGGUUUUAGCUCCGGUCAAGUCCACUUCUUGCAACGGGGGAGCCGCGCGCAUUGAGUUUGUGUAGUCAGGCAGAACACUCGACAGGAAGGAAGGAGGAAGGGGUGCUCCGCGCGGCCAUUGUCUGGGCAACCGGGCUUAAGCAGCCGAGUGACUAUUUAAUCUAUAAGUAAGCAUCAAAGUCGAAGGCCUCAGGGUGCUUCACCUGCAAUUGGGAGUGAAGGGAGAAUGCUCUGCUCCCAGUCCACCUGCUGCUUUGCAGUGACUUCUUGGGCCAAGAAGCAUAGUGAAGGGUGACCCACUUGGGUUUCCAGAGCCAGAAGGAUGCUGUGGCUCGGGGCCUCACACGUGGUUCGGCUUCCACAGCUGUAAUUUAGAGGAUGUUCAACAUCAGCCUGUGGAAAAGUGCACAUGCUUGCAGUAUCUUAGAAAAAGUGGAAGGCACUGCCUACAGAGCCCUUGAGCUUGCUGACGUGUCACCACACGGAUUUUCUGAUCAUCCUGACAACAGAGAGGACUACAUUUUUAUCUCGUCUUGGAGUGCACUUGGAAACAUUGGAACCAACCCACCUUAGUCUAAAAUGAGGUCAACCACUAUCUACAUGGGCUUACUCUGGUGGCUCAGUGGUAAAAAACACACCUGCCAAUGCAGGAGACCUGGGUUCGAUCUCUGGUCCAGGAAGAUAUCCCAGAGAAGGAAAUGGCAACCCACUCCAGUAUUCUUGCCUGGGAGGUCCCGUGAUCAGAGGAGCCUGGCAGGCUACAGUCUGUGCUGUGCUGUGCUUAGUUGCUCAGUUGUGUCUGACACUUUUCGACCUCAUGGACUGUAGCUGCUAGGCUCCUCCAUCCAUGAGAUUCUCCAGGCAAGAAUACUGGAGUGGGUUGCCAUGCCCUUCUCCAGGGGAUCUUCCUGAUACAGAGAUCGAAAUGGGGUCUCCUGCAUUGCAGGUGGAUUCUUUACCAUCUGAGCUAUCAGCAAAACCCAGGAUACAGUCUGUGGGGUUGCAACACAGUCGGCGGUGACUUAGUGACUAAGCAACAACAGCAGCAAACUCUCCACAUAUCUGACCUCUUUCUGGUUCUGGCUUUGGUUUAAAAGGGGGCAGUCGGGGUCCUGCUGGACCUUUCUAUGUAUGGUAAUACGAAUCAAUUAAAGGAAAUUUUUUUUAUUGUAUUAGUUUUGCCAAAUAUCAAAAUGAUAUGAUGAUGAUAAAGGAAAAUAUUUUGAAUGGAUAGCUGGUAAAAAAAUCAGAUAAUUUUCCAUUUAAGCACAGAUUACACAGGAAGCAGAUUAUUGGCUUGAGGUUUUGAAGGUAGGAUGAAACCAACACAUUAGAAAAUAGAUUAUUGAAGUAUUUUAAUCUUGAGGUGCGUAUAAAUCUUGGGCAUCUUAAUACAUUUAUAUAAAGAGACAGAUGUCUGUUUGGUCUGUAAUUCUAAUGCAAACAUUUGACU
ensembl:lncRNA